CGUUAUCGUAUUCUUCAUCAAACAUAUUCGCGAAGGAAUAUAUUAUUUUCUUUGUAUAUUGUUUGUUUAAUUAUGACAAGAUCAAGUUUUUCUCUACACUUUGGGAAUCGUAAUAAAUGAUCAACAUACAAAGCAUAUACUCUACGUGCAAUGUCCUUAUCUAAUUUGUCAGAAAGUUUAUCCAACACAUGAGGAAUUUUUUCAUAAUGUUUUUUGGCCAGAGCAGAUCUAAGCUGAUCUAGAUUUAUUUCUUCAAAAUUGACAUCGAUCAAGAUUUUUCAAUGAAAAUACAUAUGAUUUCU